rnacentral:lncRNA from 1 species
GAGGUUAAGUAACUUGCCCAAGGUCACAUAGCCAAAUGCAGAAAUCCUGGUGGGAGCUGAAGUAGUCAUCAUGGUUCAGGAGAUGGAAGCCACCUUUUGAGAGAGCAGAAGAAAAAGACACAAGAAGUCAAACUCCACAGAAUCAUGGUGCCACCUUACCAGCCCUGGACUCCUAUAUUGAAGCUAUUCAAAAAACAUUUUUAGGCUCCUCCCGCGAAUCGCAGCCCCUGGGACUAGGGUUGCUCCAUC